rnacentral:rRNA from 1 species
GAUGAACGCUGGCGGCGUGCCUAAUACAUGCAAGUCGAGCGAACGGACGAGAAGCUUGCUUCUCUGAUGUUAGCGGCGGACGUGUGAGUAACACGUGGAUAACCUACCUAUAAGACUGGUAUAACUUCGGGAAACCGUAGCUAAUACCGGAUAAUAUUGUGAACCGCAUGGUUCAAAAGGGAAAGACGGUCUUGCUGUCACUUAUAGAUGGAUCCGCGCUGCAUUAGCUAGUUGGUAAGGUAACGGCUUACCAAGGCAACGAUGCAUAGCCGACCUGAGAGGGUGAUCGGCCACACUGGAACUGAGACACGGUCCAGACUCCUACGGGAGGCAGCAGUAGGGAAUCUUCCGCAAUGGGCGAAAGCCUGACGGAGCAACGCCGCGUGAGUGAUGAAGGUCUUCGGAUCGUAAAACUCUGUUAUUAGGGAAGAACAUAUGUGUAAGUAACUGUGCACAUCUUGACGGUACCUAAUCAGAAAGCCACGGCUAACUACGUG